GUAAGGAAUAUUGGACAAUGGGGGAAACCCUGAUCCAGCCAUGCCGCGUGAGUGAAGAAGGCCUUCGGGUUGUAAAACUCUUUCAGAUGUGAAGAUGAUGACGGUAACAUCAGAAGAAGCUCCGGCUAACUUCGUGCCAGCAGCCGCGGUAAUACGAAGGGAGCGAGCGUUGUUCGGAAUCACUGGGCGUAAAGAGUGCGUAGGCGGUUAUACAAGUCAGGAGUGAAAUCCCAGAGCUUAACUUUGGAAUUGCUUUUGAAACUGUAUAGCUAGAGUCCCGGAGGGGUUAAUGGAAUUCCGAGUGUAGAGGUGAAAUUCGCAGAUAUUCGGAGGAACACCAGUGGCGAAGGCGAUUAACUGGACGGGCACUGACGCUGAGGCACGAAAGCGUGGGGAUCAAACAGGAUUAGAUACCCGAGUAGUCC
rnacentral:rRNA from 1 species